GGCAGCUAGCUGCCUGAGCUCCCAGGAGAGGCCUGACAGCUGAGGAAUUGCCAGGGAACUAAAAAUUGAAACCAUUGGACUGGAUGUUCUCGAAGACUCCUUCCAGCGCUGGUGAAUCAACAGUUUCUCCUCCACUCUCCCCUCUCCCCGCCUCCCGUCGCCCAGGGAUGUGUCUGCGGGUCUGUCUGCCGCCACUACGCCUUGCCUUUGGUCUCUGCCUGCUCCCCUGAUGGUGGGGCCGGCUCGCUCCCCGGUUUCCUGCUUCACUCCUGUACUCACUCAACAAACAUGUCAGGGUGCCUGUUUGGAGAUACAGAGGCGUGGCCUGGGCUCCAGAGACUCACGGAUUUAGGGAGAGAGAGGCAUGCCAACAAAUAACUGGAUCAAGGUCUUCACGCCCUGGGAGUCCCCUGGUGGCUCAGAGAUUAAGGAUCCGGCUUUGUCACAGCUGUGGUGCGUGGCCACCAAAAACAAAACAAAACAAACCAACCAACCAAACAAACAAAAACUUGAUGCCCUAAAGGCAGGAACAGACCCAGAACUGCAAGAACCCAGAGGCAAGAGUGGCCACUGCAGCUGGGGAUCAGGAAGGCUCCUUGUUGGAGGAGGCAGCUGAGCUGGGCCUUGAACCUUGAGCCCACAGGAACCUGGCAGGUGUGGAGCCCCAGGGGGGCCCAGGGAGGAGGAUGGGGUGGGAGCGGAGUUUGGAGGGUGCAGGAGGAGGGGCUGGCCAUUCCAGGUGGAGCCAUUCAGAAGGCCUUCUGAGCGCCGUGGCUCCUCAUGGGGUCCUCAGGGCGGGGAGUUCUGUUUCAUUAAUUCCAUACUGUGUCCUGGGAACCAGGCCCUGGGCGUGACACAUAGGGUUCUGUAAGCAUGUGUGGUCAGACGUGCGUUUUCGAUGUGGUGGGACAGAUGGACGAGGGGGCCAGACCCAGGCAGGCCAGCAGGCGGGAAGGUAGGUAAGGGGGGGUCAUGGUGAGAGGCCAGCAGCAGGGUGGGGCAGAACAGGAAGAAGUGGCACUGCCUGGUGACAGCCUGGCUGUGGGCAUCGGGUGAGGAAGGCGGUCCGCUGGGCAGCGACAGAAUGGGAGGGGAGAAGGGGAAGGGGCAGCUUUGGGCUCACUGUGAGACAGGCUGAACUUCUUUGGGGGGCCAUGCCCAUGCGGAAUUUCCCAGGCUGGGGAUGGAUGGAAGCUGUGAACGGCAGUGACAACGCCAGAUACUUAACCACUAGGCCGCCGGGGAAUUCAGGACAGGCUGGAAUUUUAUGCCCGCUUUUGGGUGUGUUUCAUGUCCCUCCACCAAGCGGGUGGCAUCUUCAGAGCAAGGCCAAGUCUGCUUUUCCUGUAGCCCCAGGCCUUGCCUGAGGCCUGGUUCUGCUGAACCUGGGUAACGAGUUAGAGGGUUCAUGGGGGCUUCUUUGAACGGCUGCCUCAGAUCAGACACAGAGCCACUGGCCAAAGGCCUCCUCAGGUGUCCCUUCCAAUGUGAGGGAAAAGAAACUGGAGGGGAGUCGGGUGUGGAGACACAGCCACAGGCCUCGGAUCACGGCCCCCUGCUCCGUGGCCCAGACCUGCUCCGUGGCACAGCCCGGAGCCGUGACCACACCCGCUGCCCUCUCCGCAGACGUGGGCCAGGGUUCUUGACCUGUGGGGCCGGCCCUGAACGACUGCAGAGCGUCUGUGGGCUCUGAAGUCGCCUGCAGGUGGUGGGCGUGUGGACCGGCUUCUGAGGAAAGGCCUCCCACCCUUCGUCAGAUUCCUGGAGAGCGGCCGAGUCAAAGCGAGGUUAAAAUCUGCCACUCGAAGAGAACAGAAGGAGGAAGAGGAGGAGGAGGAGGAGAAUGUGUGUAUUUCUUUGGCUCUAUGUAAGAGACAGACACACGAGUAGCUAUUAAAAAGCAAAAACCAAGCCAAACCAAAACAACACCCCUGCCAGGCCAAGCUCUCCCUUUCCAAGCCCCGUCCCAGCACCCAGCCAGGGCCAGACACACGGAGUUUUCCUUCAGUGACCCCUUAGGGACCACUCACUUUAUACCGGGCCCCCCACCAGGAUGAGGAGAUCCCCUUUCAGCUUCCUCCUGGCCCCCUGUGGAGACCGGAUUUAAAGCUAGAGUUGCUUUAAGCUGUGUUCUCAGACGUUCCUGCUGUGACUCAGUGGUAACGAGCCCAACUAAU